rnacentral:pre_miRNA from 1 species
GGGGCGGGGGAGCCGCUGCCCACCUCUGUGUGAUAUGUUUGAUAUUAGGUUGUUACGCUAGACCUCACCUGAAUAUCAGACAUAUUCCUACAGCGGCUGGGCGACUACCCGUGCCCUCCUUCUCCCUCAACGACCUUCAGCCCC